GUUUCACAUCAAAAACGUUAGUAUUGGGAACGAAAGUUGAAAUUUACGAUUGCUGAGUAGUGCUUGCCUUACCUAAUUAAUUGUCUGUUGAUUAAGGUGGAAAGCAUCAUGUGCAUAAAUCAUACACUUAUGGUGAAGGAUUACUAGCUGUGAAGAAAAUGUGAUGAUCUUUAGUGAGACAGGAAGUUAGCAUAUCACACAUGCCCAAUGACCAUUACACAGAGCUGUCUAGAAUUCCCAUGCAUGCAGGUGUUCAUACCAAAUUAUGGGAUUAAUUGCCUUGGAUUUCUUUGUUGAGAUAUGUAGAAUUACAAAGAUGAUAUCACUGUUAGCGUUUGCAAUGCAUAUAGAGUUGAUAAACUGUCUGAGAUGAUGAUAAUGGAAGUUCUGACUGUGAUGAUUAAGUGUAAUUCUGCUCAUAGUCCAGUUUCUUCUGCUUUAAACACCAAACAAUGAUGGAUAGGAAAAUGUUGCUAAAAGCUUUUAAGAAGAGAUUAUAAUCCCACUGAGUUAUGCUCAAAAAUUUUUGAUCCAUUGACUUCCAUCAACAGGGAUGUGGGCCAAUGAUGAUGACAGUCAGCCAGGAACAAACUUUUAUACAUUAGAAGGUAAGUCCAGAUAUUGGAAAAUCAGCACAUUGCCCCAAAUUUGGCUAUUGAUCAGAUUCCAUUCUGACUUUGAGGAAUAUAUAGUCAAAGAGAUAAAUGUCCUCAUCUCUUGGACAAAUGGCAGCAUUCAAGCAGUGCUUCAUAUAUUGGCCAAUGGUAGAAGUGAAGGUACUGUUGGUGGUGAAAUUUAACUUUAAGUGCAGAUCAGCAGUCUCAAGUUAAAUGGCAGAGGUAUAGAUGGAUAGCAUAUUAAUGGAAAUUGAUGUCCAGAAGAAGCAUCUCUGCCUCUGCCAAAACUGUUAACAAUGGUGUGCUUGAAAUUAUACUACUCUGAGUGUAGCUUGGUACGCUGAAUUAAAGCAUUUCAACAUUGACAAAGGGACUGAAUCAAGUAAAGAGGCCCCAUACGAGAUCAUUACCCUAAUUGUGCUGUGAACUAAUCAGAGAAAGUGCAACGCAUGUGCAUUCUCUCUAGGGUAAUGCAAAAAUUCAAAAGUACUGGAUAGCUCUUCCAAUUUUUGUUCAAAAGUACUCCAUGUGUUCUGAACAGGUAAAUAGAAUAGAUUUCUUGAAUCUUGUAUAUUGUUCCUUCUAUUGUGUAUAUCUAACCUGUAUAUAUAUAUAGCU
rnacentral:lncRNA from 1 species